rnacentral:rRNA from 1 species
UACAGAGGGUGCGAGCGUUAAUCGGAAUUACUGGGCGUAAAGGGUGUGUAGGUGGUUGUGUAAGUUAGAUGUGAAAUCCCUAGGCUCAACCUGGGAACUGCGUUUAAAACUGCAUAGCUAGAGUACUGUAGAGGAUAGUGGAAUUUCCAGUGUAGCGGUGAAAUGCGUAGAUAUUGGAAGGAACACCAGUGGCGAAGGCGACUAUCUGGGCAGAUACUGACACUGAGACACGAGAGCAUGGGGAGCAAACAGG